rnacentral:rRNA from 1 species
UGGGGAAUAUUGGACAAUGGGCGCAAGCCUGAUCCAGCCAUGCCGCGUGAGUGAUGAAGGCCUUAGGGUUGUAAAGCUCUUUCACCCACGACGAUAAUGACGGUAGUGGGAGAAGAAGCCCCGGCUAACUUCGUGCCAGCAGCCGCGGUAAUACGAAGGGGGCUAGCGUUGUUCGGAAUCACUGGGCGUAAAGCGUACGUAGGCGGACCGUUAAGUCGGAGGUGAAAUCCUGGGGCUCAACCCCAGAACUGCCUUCGAUACUGGCGGUCUCGAGUCCGGAAGAGGGUAGGGGAACGGGCAGUGUAGAGGUGAAAUUCGUAGAUAUGGGCAAGAACACCAGUGGCGAAGGCGGCUCACUGGUCCGGUACUGACGCUGAGGUACGAAAGCGUGGGGAGCAAACA